AUUGAACGCUGGCGGAAUGCUUUACACAUGCAAGUCGAACGAUGAGACCUAGCUUGCUAGGUUGAUUAGUGGCGAACGGGUGAGUAAUGUAUCGGAACGUAUCCAAUAAUGGGGGAUAACUAACCGAAAGGUUAGCUAAUACCGCAUACGCCCUACGGGGGAAAGCAGGGGAUCUUCGGACCUUGCGUUAAUGGAGCGGCCGAUAUCUGAUUAGCUAGUUGGUGAGGUAAAGGCUCACCAAGGCGACGAUCAGUAGCUGGUCUGAGAGGACGACCAGCCACACUGGGACUGAGACACGGUCCAGACUCCUACGGGAGGCAGCAGUGGGGAAUUUUGGACAAUGGGCGAAAGCCUGAUCCAGCCAUUCCGCGUGAGUGAAGAAGGCCUUCGGGUUAUAAAGCUCUUUCGCAAGGGAAGAAGACUUACUUUCUAAUAAAGAGUGAGGUUGACGGUACCUUGAUAAGAAGCACCGGCUAACUACGUGCCAGCCGCCGCCGUAA
rnacentral:rRNA from 1 species